AUUUUACUUUUCAGCCAGAGAUUGUAGACUAACUCUUCUGAGCUUUAUUUAUUAUUAUUAUUUUUAAUGAUUUAUUUUUGUUUCUUGUUUAGAGUGCAGGCUUUUCUUUACCUGCUUUUUGGGAGAUUUUGUAUGAAUUAAAACUGUUAGGAAAGAAAAGAUUUUCUUUCAUCAAACACUUUCUGUGAUGGCAGCAGUUUGGAGCAAAUGUGUGAUAAGAAUAUCUGCAACAUAAAGAUAGCUGGGAACUCUGAAUCAGUCCCUUGGCUGACAGUGGGCAGCCCUGUGUGUUGUAAAGGAUGGUGUGAGAAAUCUUAUACUUGGCAGAUGUGGAAUAGUUUGCAGCCAUCCUAAUCGCUGCUGCCUUGGAAUUGAUUUAACCCUGAAACAUGAGGGUAUGGAUGUGUAAUUAUGUCUACAGUGGAUGCAGAGAAAAGACAUCAGAUUAAUGAGAAGAAAUCACGAGAAAUACAACUGGCACAGUGAGUGGAAUAAUUCCAGAGAAAUUUGGAAAGCAGUGAUGAAAUUUUAAGAUUUCAGAGAAAUGUUGCAGAAGUUUAUCUUUCAUGAUGCACAAGACUUGGAAAGAAGCUUCCAGAUUAACAAAAUAAAGUAAAAAGAUAUUCACAAGUUCUGGGGGAGAAAGAGGUGAAUGAUUUUAACCCCAAACAAGGUAUUGGCAACUAGGAAGGGAGGAGGUAACACCUGUUAGAGAUGACACCACCUCUAGAGAAGGUGUAUAAGCACACAUGGUGCUUAUACAUAGGAGUAAGAAGGCCUAGAAAAAAUUUUUGUGUGUGUUUUGGGGGUUAGAAAAUAUGUAUGUUUCCUCAAAGUUAAAUUUUCCAUUAACAUGGGUGUGGUCAUCUGACACAGUUCUCAGUGUGAGAUGAUAGAGAGGGUUUGUUUUAACCACACAAGUCCCCUAGGUCAGACUCUUGUCUCUGUGUGGCUGGUGCUUGAUUCACAGAGAAUUUUUUACUGAGCAGAGCAUUGGCUGUGACAUUUGCUAGGCAAGCUUGAAAAUCUAAUGCCAUACAUUAUUAAUAAUGAUAAGUGUUCUGCAAAGAGAAGAUAUCAGAACUGGAAUCAUGUUCAAGCACUAUAUGCCAACUGAUUUUGUUCCAUCACUCUCUGGCAAAUACAAUUAUACGUUAUCGAUAUUAAAGAUGCCCAUGUCAUGGAUAAUGUGAAUACAUAAUGCAAAGUUGUAAUGAAAUUUGGAAUAUCUGAUUAGUCAUGGGAAAACUGCUUUAAAAAAAGAGUAUUCCAUCUACAUUUCAAACAUGUUUUUUUAUACAUGGAAUGACCGAUUACACUUGUAUUAUAUGCCAUUUAUUUUGCAUAUUUUAAUUUCUAAUUACUGAUAAAUUAAGAUGACACUGUUCCAUUAAUGCCUACUGAAUGUUUAAUUCACGGAUACCUUAAAGUGCUCUCUGUUGCCGAGGAUUCUGAUAGGUUUUGGCUGGAACUCCAAAGGAGUGACAUAUUUCUAGCCUCUGACUCUGGUAUAUCUACCAGGAAAUUGAAGCAUCGAUGCCACUUGAUUGAAGCAUCAAUGUCACUGCACCCUCCACAAAAUUAUUCCUUUUAAAUUAUUAAGAUCUUAAGCUGAAAUUUAUCCCAGAAGGGAGCCAUCCUAAUGCUAUGAAUGCUUAAUACAACUUAAGUCUGUAAAUGA